rnacentral:rRNA from 1 species
AACGAACGCUGGCGGCAGGCCUAACACAUGCAAGUCGAGCGAAGCCUUCGGGCUUAGCGGCGGACGGGUGAGUAACGCGUGGGAACGUGCCCUUUGGUACGGAAUAGCCCCGGGAAACUGGGAGUAAUACCGUAUGUGGUCGAGAGACGAAAGAUUUAUCGCCAAAGGAUCGGCCCGCGUUGGAUUAGGUAGUUGGUGGGGUAAUGGCCUACCAAGCCGACGAUCCAUAGCUGGUUUGAGAGGAUGAUCAGCCACACUGGGACUGAGACACGGCUCAGACUCCUACGGGAGGCAGCAGUGGGGAAUCUUAGACAAUGGGGGAAACCCUGAUCUAGCCAUGCCGCGUGAUCGAUGAAGGCCUUAGGGUUGUAAAGAUCUUUCGGUGGGGAAGAUAAUGACUGUACCCACAGAAGAAGCCCCGGCUAACUCCGUGCCAGCAGCCGCCGUAACAC